UUCGGUUGUGCGUCCAAAAUUCUGCAUACAGUAGCACGUUUGUAUGAAGGUGUGGUUAUUCACAGGCAAAUUGUUAUAUGCUAUGGAGGUACAUUUGUGUCUUUUUGCUGAAAGCAAAACCUUUUUUAUUUUCAAUCAAAAAUAAUUGUUCUGUAAGCAACUUUUUUUCUGACACAAAGGAAGUCAAAGCGGACACCUACGAAGAUGGCAUCUCAGGUAAGCAGCACUGGGCUGUAUUGACGUAUCCGAAUAAUGACUUCUGCUGCUUUAGAUUGAACCUUCAUAUCUCAGUUAUUGUUUUCAUAUCUCUAAAAAAUAUGCUGUUUUCUUUACUCUCAGAAUGUAAGCUGACCAAGGGGUCGAAAAUGUAGACAAUACCAGAUGUUCACUGUCCGAGGAACAGGCCAUGGAAGCUUUAUUGCUGGCAAAAGUGUCCAUAACCAGAGGUUAUAUCUUCUGUUUUGGUGAACCCCUCCCGCAUCUCAACUGGCUGACACAGAGGGCACAGCAUGAUCAUAGGUAUGUUUUGAUGUGAGAGAGGAAGCCAGUCCUGUCAUCACCAUCUCACCCGCUCUUAAGAUAACUUUCAGGCCAACUGGGGGCCCAAGGCUGGUUAGGAGACACCUCAAUUAUGAUGAACUGAGAGAAUAUUAGGGUAGCACUGUAAUUCAGUGUCUGCUGUCUGCCGCUGUUCUUACCUCUUUCCCUUCCUGUCAUCUACAUCUCUCUCUCCACCUCGUGUAAUGGCUCUCGUCGGCAUGCAUAGACCAAAACGCAGCGUGGUAAAUGUUCAUGAUGUUUUAUUAAUGAAAAAACACUCGAACAAAAUAACAAAGAGAAAAAACAGUUCUGUCAGGUACAGACACUAAACCGAAAAUAACUACCCACAAAACCCAAACGAAAAAGGACAACUUAUAUAUGAUCCC